CAACCUCUUUCCUUCGUUUAUUCACUUUAAAGUGAAUAAAGGCUCUUGCGAACUCUCGUCGUUCGCCAAGUUAUACGCCGGAGUUGCCUCGUCGCUAUCUGAUCAUCUCGUCUUUGUGAAACACCGUAAGAAACGCCGGAUAUUGGACGAUUAAGCGAAACUCGUGGACUCAUACGAGUUGUGGACGAUUGGAAUUCGUCGUUUGCUUAUGAGGCUAGGUUUGAGGAACGGAAGCACCAGAAUCUAACCACACAAAAGAAAAGAGGAAGCGAGGACGACAGGUUAGGUUGAAUGGGAGAGGAGGAGAAAGGAGGAGGCUUUACACUCAAAGUGGUCAUAACAUUUGAAAUAUAUUCGAUGACAUAUAUGAAUUUCCCCAUCUUUGCAUUCUUAAUCGGGGUAAAUUUGUCAUGAUUGACUUGAAAUAACAUUAGUAUCUUUUCUUGUUGAUACCUCACGAGUUACCCGUCUUCAUACGUGUAACUUGAUCAUGAUUCUGUUGUGCAACUCUAUGAAACCGGAUAAACCAUUAAAUCUCGAUUUCCUUUGAUAUUGUAAAUCCUAACCUUUGAUAUGACUGAAUUAAUCAAACGUUGGACCACUUAUGCCUAGUAUUUGUUUGCAUAUAAGUCCAUUAUGAAAGUCAUUUUCAUUCAAACACUCAUACUUGUGGUCAUUUGUGGCCUAAAUUAUGAAUUAUAAUUGAUUAUGUGGGUAAGUCGAUCCUGUAAAUCAUUUAGUCGCGUGAUACUCGUUCUACGCUAUCACUGGCUAGAAAGCGGGCCGCGACAACUGGUCGAACAAAGACAAAAUUGUUCAACCAGACUAGGGGGAGUAGCUGAUGAGGACUAGAAUACUCAUCAGCGUUGUGCUGAGCAAUACAAGAACAUCUUACUUGACUACUAUUAUUGUUAUUAUUAUUCUUAUUGAACGAAGCCAACCAGCGCAGGUUUAAUUGAAGUCCUUAGAUAAUAAAGGGAUGACUCGCCUGCGCAGCUCAAGGGGACUACUCAGCACGGGUAACGAGGGAGUUCUAUUUUCAUUACCCGAAUCAGCCGAAGAAGUCAAAGUGCAUGCGCAGCCUAAAGAGUUCGAAGCACCUGCGCAGGAUAAAGAACUUGAAGUCUCGGCAGUCAUAAGAUAGCGAAGCUUCCGGCGCAGUCAAACCAGCGCAGAUGGGCCAAGUCAAGACUAAAGUUAAGUGUAUUAAAGUAUUAAAGGGCAUAAAUCCAAUUAUUAGAGUUCAUGGGCCUAAGGCCUUUAGGGCUCACUCUCACAUCUAUAAAUAGAAGGUUUAGCAUUAACAUUAGAGGAUCAUGAUUUAUUUCAGAGCAACACUUGUAAAAUGUAAUUAUCUCGAAGUAUAGUCGAAGAACUCAAAAACACCCGUGGAUGUAGGUCUUAACGACCGAACCACGUAAAUCCUGUCUUGAUUAUUGCUUUU